rnacentral:rRNA from 1 species
GAUGAACGCUAGCGGCGUGCUUAAUGCAUGCAAGUCGAACGAUAAACCCUUCGGGGUCGAAAGUGGCGAACGGGUGAGUAAUGCGUUGGUGACCUGCCUUGGUAGUGGGGGACAACCGCUGGAAACGGUGGCUAAUACCCCAGAUGCCAUUGUGUUUGGAAAACAUGUCUAAAGCUACGGUGCUACAAGAGGGGCCAACGUCCCAUCAGCUAGUUGGUGAGGGUAACCGGCUCACCAAGGGCAAGACGGGUAGGGGCGUGAGAGCGUGACCCUCCACACUGGUACUGACACACGGACCAGAUACCUACGGGUAGCAGCAGCAAGGA